rnacentral:ribozyme from 1 species
UGCCCAGCAAUUCCUAUCCCUACCUCCUCAUGGUACUGGCCAACCCCGGUGAGAACUUUGAUCAUAUGCUGACAGAGAAGG